CUAAUCUCACUUUGUUAGUAUUUGUAUUGGCGUCGCCGUUCAAAAACUGCUUGAACGUAUAAAAUGCAGGAAUCUACUAAAUCGAAGAGAGCAAGGACGUAGUCUGUAAAAUUAAUAAAAGUAUAAAAAAGUACAAGAUCAAAAUACCUUACAUCAGAUUUGUCUGCAAUUUAGCACAAAUUCUUACAUAUAUUCCGCUCACACCUCCUAUUUUGUUGUUCGAUAUUUCAUCUGGUUAUCUUUAAAUUUAAUAAACUGUAAAUAGUUACCAUCCGUAGAAUCGGCAACUACCUGACAGUCUCUGGCCAAGAUGGAAGCCGUUCGAAAAGCUGACGAGACAAGUCAAUAAUAACAAACGACAAAAUAGCUUAUGUUCCAAUUUAUACGAUAUUUACUAUUAAAUAAAGAUGAUGCCACAAGGCUUAUAUACCGGGUGGUGCGUCGCCGAGCGGAACAUAGGAAAUUCCAUGUAAAUUUUAAGGGGGUCGAUUAUUGGCUUCCCUGUACAUUUUACAGAAAAAAUGUAAGAUAACUUUUUGACGAGACUGGCAAACCCUCGUGCAAAGUUUCAAAAAAUUUUAAUAAGCGAAUCUUGAAUUAUUCAAUUAAAUUUAAUUGCAAAAUUACCAAAUUUUCGGAAGGCGAGGGCGCAUAGAGGCAAACGUUAUAAAUAUUUUGGCAUAUAUUGAAAUAAACUCUCACAUAAGCAUCCGAAAUAUUUCUAGGGAAUUGGGAGUGUCCCUCGAUACAGUAGAAAAUAUUCUGAAAGAGCACAGACCUCAUCCAUAUCACGUGGUUCUGCACCAGGCGCUUCUCGAAAAAGACUUUAAUAACAGACUCAAUUUCUGUUAUUGCUGUUGAACAUGGUUAGAGAAGAUACCCGAUUUAUCUCAAAGAUAUUAUGGACGGACGAGGCAUCAUUUAGCAGUGAUGGUAGUGUAAACCUUCAUAAUCUGCAUUAUUGGGCAGAACAAAAUCCCUGUUGGAUUUGCGAGAUUCAACACCAAGGCAGAUGGACUAUAAAUGUGUGAUGCGGAAUUAUUGGCGGAAGCGGCUGUCAACGCAACGACCUCGACUGUGUAUUGAAAAUGAAGAAAAACAGUUUGAGCAUCUAAGACAUUAUUAAACAUAUAAAACAAUUUAUUUAUUACAAAAAUUUGAGUUCUGGAGUUUUAUUUUUAUUGUUUAAAAACAUUGUAAUUAAUAUUUUCGGAAUAAAAUAAGAUAUCGAGUUGCGGUUUGCA